rnacentral:tRNA from 1 species
GGGCCCGUGGUCUAGUCAGGAUUAUGAUGCUGGCCUCCGGAGCCGGUGGUCGUGGGUUCAAAUCCCACCGGGCCCGCCA